CCCUUAGAUGUUCGGGGCCGCACGCGCGCUACACUGAUGCAUUCAACGAGUCUAAAACCUGCUCUGAUAGGGGUGGGUAAUCUUUUGAAUGUGCAUCGUGAUUGGGAUAGAUGAUUGCAAUUUUUCAUCUUCAACGAGGAAUGCCUAGUAAACGCAAGUCAUCAGCUUGCAUUGAUUACGUCCCUGCCCUUUGUACACACCGCCCGUCGCUCCUACCGAUUGAAUGAUCCGAUGAAUAUCAUGGAUUGAGGAUGCAAGCAGGUUCGCCUGUCUUCAUCUUCGAGAAGUGAAGUAAAUCUUAUCAUUUAGAGGAAGGAGAAGUCGUAACA
rnacentral:rRNA from 1 species